GCCAGUAUGGCAUAGUGGUUUGAGCAUUGGACUAUGACUCUGGGCAUCAGGGUUCGAUUCCCAGUCCAUGAUA